rnacentral:rRNA from 1 species
GACGAACGCUGGCGGCGUGCUUAACACAUGCAAGUCGAACGAUGAAACCUAGCUUGCUAGGUCGAUUAGUGGCGAACGGGUGAGUAACACGUGACUAACCUGCCCCUUUCUCUGGGAUAACGCUCCGAAAGGAGUGCUAAUACCGGAUACUCACAUCGAGGCGCAUGCCUUGGUGUGGAAAGUUUUUCGGAAAGGGAUGGAGUCGCGGCCUAUCAGCUUGUUGGUGAGGUAACGGCUCACCAAGGCGACGACGGGUAGCCGGCCUGAGAGGGCGACCGGCCACACUGGGACUGAGACACGGCCCAGACGCCUACGGGAGGCAGCAGUGGGGAAUAUUGCACAAUGGGCGCAAGCCUGAUGCAGCGACGCCGCGUGAGGGAUGAAGGUCUUCGGAUUGUAAACCUCUUUCAGUAGGGACGAAGCGAAAGUGACGGUACCUAAAGAAGAAGCACCGGCUAACUACGUGCCAGCCGCCGCGGUAA